UCCUGAUUGACAGUUGAGGGAUAUUUCUUACUUUCUCUAUCCCUCUAACCCAAAGGAUUAUUGUGAGAGCAGUAAUAUAUGUAAAGUCAGGCUCUUUCCUUACCUCCUCUUAUGGAAACCUGGACUUCUCUUCUACAGCACACCUGGCAGUUUGUAAUUCAGUAAUUAUGAAGCCAGCUCUUUCGUAUGUGUCUCCUCUGCCUUCUGCUGGGAGAUGUGCUUCCGGAAGGAAGGAAGGAACCUCUCCUCUUUACUGUGGUGUUCCAGGCACCUGGCACAUCCAUGAGUCGGUGCCGCCUGGGCGAAGUCCCAACAGUAUGUGGCGUAGACUCCCCGAUUUAUAAACAUUGCUUCCCUUCUUUCUCAUACACGGAAUAUGACAGUUUUCUUUUCCCUGUUCUGUUCCUAGGAGUUUGGCGAAUUUCUCUGCUCCUCCUAUAAUACAUGAUAUUACUGGCAUAUUGGUUACUUCUGACACUUCCUAGGGGCUCUUCCUAGUAGCACGGAUCUUCUUAACAACAUCGACAUCAAAUUCUUCUUGAACUAAAAGCAUAAUCUCUCCUACUUUUACCUGUCCUUACAAUGGUAUUUUUCCUGAAUUGUUUCUUAGAGAUAAAAAAAGGUAACUUCCGGGUCUACUUAUAGUAUUUUGAAAUAGUCUACUUAUAGUAUUUUGAAAAUGUUUAUUUCAUUUUGCUUAAGUUCACAGGAUGAAUAUGGUACCUUCAGACCGCUAUUAUACUGCUCCUUAUUGCAGGUAUUAAGUAAGAAACCUAAACCCUGCAGCAGAUGUCUACAUUCUAUUUACCCAAAGGCAGAAGGAAAAUUAAAGGUAUCAUCCAAACCAUUGUUUGCUCAUUAUACUCAUUUUCAUGUUGACUGACUUCUUUAUGAAUAUAACAAUAUUCCUUUAUUCCAUCGAUUCAUGGCAGCACUAAAAUAGAUUACAGCUCCAGGUUUGUCUUCUGCUUGCAUUCAUGACGAGGGCUCUGAAGAACUGCACAUUUCCAGGAGAGGGGUUUCCAUGGAAACCUGGACAAAGGGAAAGCAAAAUAAUUCUUCAAGGCCUACUAGAAAAAAAAAAUUCCACCUUGCUUUUUGUUUGCAGUUCUGUGUCCCCUGAGCAGUCUGGCUGGCUGGCACUGUCCUUGCUCUCUAGGAAUUGCUGUCUGAAAUGUAUAUAUAGCAUGAUGCAUCUCGGCAAUCUGCAAAAUAGGAUUUGGGAUCACCAAAAUAUAAACUCCAGUACCAACCAAACUUGAGUCUAUCCAUGGAAUCGUAGAAAAAGAAUAAUCACAUAAUUGCUGCCAGAUUCCAUCAAAGAGCUCUUUAUUCAGGGAAGAUGCUGCCUUGCCCAGCUUAUGUGAGUUUCCCUGUGACUUCUCAGAAAUAUCAUUUGUGUAGAAUGAAGUCUGUGUCUGCCCAUUAGAAUAAGAUUCCAUUAAAUAACUAAAUCAUAUUCCACGUUCAUCCAGCUACUUCCUGAUGAUUUGGCUUUCCUGAUAGUUUUCUAAGAAAAGAGAAUCUGUUGGUCAGUUUAGUGGAGUGUCAUUGGUUGACACUUGCUGUAUAUUAAUUAGGUGGUUUAUUUAUCA
rnacentral:lncRNA from 1 species